rnacentral:tRNA from 1 species
GCGGCUGUAGUCUAGUGGUUAGGACUGAAGCUUCCCAAGCUUCAAGCCCGGGUUCGAAUCCCGGCAGCCGCA